CGAAGGGGCUAGCGUUGUUCGGAAUUACUGGGGCGUAAAGCGCACGUAGGCGGAUAUUUAAGUGAGGGGUGAAAUCCCAGGGCUCAACCCUGGAACUGCCUCUCAUACUGGGUAUCUCGAGUUCGAGAGAGGUGAGUGGAAUUGCGAGUGUAGAGGUGAAAUUCGUAGAUAUUCGCAGGAACACCAGUGGCGAAGGCGGCUCACUGGCUCGAUACUGACGCUGAGGUGCGAAAGCGUGGGGAGCAAACAGGAUU
rnacentral:rRNA from 1 species